AGUGAAAGCGGACUGGGGUUGCAUUAUGCCCGAGAUCUGCUUUUGGGUUCCACAGACAGAGUCAAACAGGGAUCUCGGUAAGCUGAAAUACAAGUUUGAACAAGAAUAAAAAUCCUCCUGUAGACCUGAAAAUCAUUGAAGUGCCUGGACCAUCCACCAGAAAAGAGGAA